AGUGAACGCUGGCGGUAGGCCUAACACAUGCAAGUCGAACGGCAGCACAGUAAGAGCUUGCUCUUACGGGUGGCGAGUGGCGGACGGGUGAGGAAUACAUCGGAAUCUACUUUUUCGUGGGGGAUAACGUAGGGAAACUUACGCUAAUACCGCAUACGACCUACGGGUGAAAGCAGGGGAUCUUCGGACCUUGCGCGAUUGAAUGAGCCGAUGUCGGAUUAGCUAGUUGGCGGGGUAAAGGCCCACCAGGGCGACGAUCCGUAGCUGGUCUGAGAGGAUGAUCAGCCACACUGGAACUGCGACACGGUCCAGACUCCUACGGGAGGCAGCAGUGGGGAAUAUUGGACAAUGGGCGCAAGCCUGAUCCAGCCAUACCGCGUGGGUGAAGAAGGCCUUCGGGUUGUAAAGCCCUUUUGUUGGGAAAGAAAAGCAGCAGGUUAAUACCCCGCUGUUCUGACGGUACCCAAAGAAUAAGCACCGGCUAACUUCGUG
rnacentral:rRNA from 1 species